UUGAAUCAGGACCACGAUAAGGGCAGCGGAGAGGUGAGGGAUAGAACCAGACACAUCCGGGACAGAACACACCAGAAAAAUCCCUAGAGUUACUCGCCCAGGUUCGAUCCCUGGUCCCCAAAUCGGUAGUCUGAAGCCUUAACUGCCUGGCACUUUUAUUUACCUAUCAACCAAUGAUCCUAAAUGAAACUGUUCCUUAAGUUAUUCAUCAAUAUAAUAGGAACUAAUACGAAACAUGAGAAGCAAAUACAUAAGUUAUCAGAUAUAAGUGUAGCCUAUGUAUUUAACUGAAUCACUCGUGGUCUCACUUUUCAGAAUAAUUAAAAAAUACCAUACUAACUUUAAACGUUUUGGUUUAUAACAAAGUAUUCAAUUAAAUAAUAAAGCUUGCACAAUAUCAUCUUUAUUACAAUCUAUCAACGCUUUACAUCCUGUUAAUAUAGUAGUAUAAGAUUAUCAUAUCAAAUACGCAAUAAAAAAUAUUUUGACUCGCCUGUUUAAAUUUCAGUUUCAGUUUUGGAUCAUUUAUCUUCGUGAUCAAUGAACGUUUUUUAAUAAUAGAUUCGUUUCUAAUAUAUUUCCAGAAUUGACCGCUGAUGCAUUCAUAUUUUCAUUUGAGCCAGUUGAAAACAGUAUCGAGAAUUAUACUUUUAUUUCAGUGGAGGACUAAAGAAAGAAGGGAAGAAAGAGUAAAAAUCAAACAAAUGAUGAAAGACUGAUGGAGAGUGUUAGGAAGAGAGAUUGAACUGAUUUGAAGCAAUUAAAGAAUCUUUUGAGUGAUUUCAAGAAACUAUUUUAGGUUUAAAUUUGAUGUGCUGCAUUUAUUAAAAUGAAUGUGAAAAUGGAGCUGAAAAUAUAUUUUGAAGAACGAUGAGUCUAAUUGUUCCAAAGAAUUUUCAGUUAUUUUCCAAUCGAUAAUAUAUUACAUUUAGAAGGAUUUUAUGGAAAUAUAUCAUGCUAACAGAAAGUUCGGAUUCGGGAAACUCAUUCGCUUUUCUUGAGCAUUUCCUCUUAUGUCUUGUAGAAAGAGAACAAUGUAUAACAGGAAAAAAUCAAUAAAUUGA